GAUGAAGAACGCAGCAAAAUGCGAUAAGUAAUGUGAAUCGCAGAAUUCAGUGAAUCAUCGAAUCUUUGAACGCACAUUGCGCCCGCCAGUAUUCUGGCGGGCAUGCCUGUUCGAGCGUCAUUUCAACCCUCAAGCUCAGCUUGGUGUUGGGACUCGCGGUAACCCGCGUUCCCCAAAUCGAUUGGCGGUCACGUCGAGCUUCCAUAGCGUAGUAAUCAUACACCUCGUUACUGGUAAUCGUCGCGGCCACGCCGUAAAACCCCAACUUCUGAAUGUUGACCUCGGAUCAGGUAGGAAUACCCGCUGAACUUAAGCAUAUCAAUAAGCGGAGGA
rnacentral:misc_RNA from 1 species